rnacentral:pre_miRNA from 1 species
UGUAUUAUACCCGUAUAUAUGUGUAUAUGGGUAUAAUACAUAACACAUAUAUAUGUGUAUAUGGGUAUAAUACAU